GUGCAAGGCGGCUGCUUUAACAUGCAGUCGAACGGCAGCACGGGGGCAACCCUGGUGGCGAGUGGAGAACGGGUGAGUAAUGCAUCGGAACGUGUCUUUAAGUGGGGGAUAACGCACCGAAAGGUGUGCUAAUACCGCAUAAUCUCUACGGAGAAAAGCAGGGGAUCGCAAGACCUUGCGCUUUUGGAGCGGCCGAUGUCUGAUUAGCUAGUUGGUGAGGUAAAGGCUUACCAAGGCGUCGAUCAGUAGCUGGUCUGAGAGGACGACCAGCCACACUGGGACUGAGACACGGCCCAGACUCCUACGGGAGGCAGCAGUGGGGAAUUUUGGACAAUGGGGGAAACCCUGAUCCAGCCAUGCCGCGUGAGUGAAGAAGGCCUUCGGGUUGUAAAGCUCUUUCAGCCGGAACGAAACGGUCACAGCUAAUACCUGUGACUACUGACGGUACCGGAAGAAGAAGCACCGGCUAACUACGUGCCAGCAGCCGCGGUAAUACGUAGGGUGCGAGCGUUAAUCGGAAUUACUGGGCGUAAAGCGUGCGCAGGCGGUUUUGUAAGUCAGAUGUGAAAUCCCCGGGCUUAACCUGGGAACUGCGUUUGAAACUACAAGGCUAGAGUGUGGCAGAGGGGGGUGGAAUUCCACGUGUAGCAGUGAAAUGCGUAGAGAUGUGGAGGUACACCGAUGGCGAAGGCAGCCCCCUGGGUUAACACUGACGCUCAGGCACGAAAGCGUGGGGAGCAAACAGGAUUAGAUACCCUGGUAGUCCACGCCCUAAACGAUGUCAACUAGUUGUCGGGUCUUAACGGACUUGGUAACGCAGCUAACGCGUGAAGUUGACCGCCUGGGGAGUACGGUCGCAAGAUUAAAACUCAAAGGAAUUGACGGGGACCCGCACAAGCGGUGGAUUAUGUGGAUUAAUUCGAUGCAACGCGAAAAACCUUACCUACCCUUGACAUGUACCGAAGCCCGCUGAGAGGUGGGUGUGCCCGAAAGGGAGCGGUACACAGUGCUGCAUGG
rnacentral:rRNA from 1 species